rnacentral:ncRNA from 1 species
UGUGGUUAGGGGUGAAAGGCCAAUCAAACUCCGUGAUAGCUGGUUCUCCCCGAAACUGCAUUUAGGUGCAGCGUCGUGUGUUUCUUGCCGGAGGUAGAGCACUGGAUAGGCGAUGGGCCCUACCGGGUUACUGACCUUAGCCAAACUCCGAAUGCCGGUAAGUGAGAGCGCGGCAGUGAGACUGUGGGGGAUAAGCUCCAUGGUCGAGAGGGAAACAGCCCAGAGCAUCGACUAAGGCCCCUAAGCGUACGCUAAGUGGGAAAGGAUGUGGAGUCGCACAGACAACCAGGAGGUUGGCUUAGAAGCAGCCACCCUUGAAAGAG